rnacentral:rRNA from 1 species
UACGUAGGGUGCAAGCGUUAAUCGGAAUUACUGGGCGUAAAGCGCGCGCAGGCGGUCUUCCAAGUCAGUGGUGAAAGCCCGGAGCUCAACUCCGGAACUGCCAUUGAAACUGUGAGACUUGAGUACGAGAGAGGUGAGUGGAAUUCCCAGUGUAGAGGUGAAAUUCGUAGAUAUUCGCAAGACACCAGUGGCGAAGGCGGCUCACUGGCCCGAUACUGACGCUGAUGCACGAAAGCGUGGGGAGCAAACAGG